CAAAUUCUUUUUUUCUAAAUAUAAAUCCAACGGCUAAGAUCUGCACCCAUUCUAGCAGACCCCACACCACAUUAUUACACUUGAUUUCACAGAUUUAAUACACAGUUAUCUGUUGUAUGUAUAUAUCAUCAGCAUCAUAAAAUCUACAUCUAUUAUGCUACACACCAUCAACAGCUUGCAACGAUUGAUCACCACAACAAUAUAAUUUAAUUCACCCAAAAAAUUUAGAAAAAAAAAAAACAGCCAAUAUAAUUUAAUUCACCCAAAAAAUUUAGUCUACAUCUAUUAUGCUACACACCAUCAACAGCUUGCAACGAUUGAUCACCACAACAAUAUAAUUUAAUUCACCCAAAAAAUUUAGAAAAAAAAAAAACAGCCAUAUGAUUGAUUAUCAAGCGGACUCAUCGGGAUGCUGAAUAGUAGAAGUAGUAGUACUAAAACCAUUUUCCUUUUUUACCCUCGGUUGAAUCCCAUAAUAACUAACGUACCAUUUGACGAACUUCCUCAGGCCGGCGGCCAGAUCAGUGGUGGGCUUGUACCCGAAGUCUUUGUAAGCCAAGCUCACGUUGGCAUGCGUAUACGGCACGUCCCCAUUUCUCGGCAUUCUUAUCACAUGCUUUUUGGCCUUAG
rnacentral:lncRNA from 1 species